AUGGUUAAGCUAAUAAGAGCACACGGAGGAUGCCUAGGCGCCAGGAGCCGACGAAGGACGUGGCGAACAACGAAACUGCCUCGGGGAGCUGUAAGCAAGCUUUGAUCCGGGGGUGUCCGAAUGGGGAAACCCAGCUGUGGUAAUUCGCAGUUACUCAUACCUGAAUACAUAGGGUAUGCAGAGGCAGACCAGGGGAACUGAAACAUCUAAGUACCCUGAGGAAGAGAAAACAAU
rnacentral:rRNA from 1 species